GAUAUGAAAGCAAAGGAAAAGCGGUAUUAAAUGAUAUUAUACAAGAUACUAAGCAACCUUAUAACAUUCAAGAUACUUUGUUUACAAAUAAAUAUUGCUGAUAAAACUUUUCCAAAAGGUCAUUUAAAGCCGCUUGGAUCACAUCGAUCACCAGAAAGUAUCGAUGAACGCUUUGAUGUACCUUCACCUCUCGAGUUUUGGACUGACUAUGUUAAAAUCUCCAAGCCUGUGGUUUUUAGAGGAGCUGCGAAACACUCUAAGGCAUUCACCUCGUGGACUGAUGAAUAUUUAAAACAGAAUUAUGGAGAUUUGGAAGUUAGAUUGGAAAUAAGGGUGAAAAAUCUUAAAUGGCCUUAUUAAAAAUCUUGAGCUCACUUUGUGGAUACUUAUCAUGAUGUAAACAGUUAUAUUGUGUCAGAAUUACCAACACCAAUGUGGUCUGACAUUCUUGUGCAGCCAUGUUUAACAUGUGGAACAUUUUCUGAUCAUAUUGUUGAGAUUGAUUUAUGGAUGAGUGGUGGAGGAAGCAAGAGUCUCUUACAUAAGUAACGUUUGUCAGUUGGCAAUUUUCAACACCUUUUGUUGUUCUGUAGUUGAAUCCAACACAUUCGAGUUUGUUAUUGCAGUGAUUGUGACACUCGAACAUGACAAACGAAGACGUGAUAUUGUGUCUUGAUAUUAUCUCGUCAUCAGGACGAUAUUUACCAGGGAAAGAGACGAUUACAAAAGGAUCUUGAAGCUGUGUUUCAAAAGAAUUUGAAAAUUCGAUUAUAAGUAAGAAAGCAGAUGCCUUUAAUUUUAACUUUACUGGGGCCGGUUGUA